CUACGUGCCAGCAGCCGCGGUAAUACGGAAGGUCCAGGCGUUAUCCGGAUUUAUUGGGUUUAAAGGGAGCGUAGGCUGGAGAUUAAGUGUGUUGUGAAAUGUAGACGCUCAACGUCUGAAUUGCAGCGCAUACUGGUUUCCUUGAGUACGCACAACGUUGGCGGAAUUCGUCGUGUAGCGGUGAAAUGCUUAGAUAUGACGAAGAACUCCGAUUGCGAAGGCAGCUGACGGGAGCGCAACUGACGCUUAAGCUCGAAGGUGCGGGUAUCAAACAGGAUUAGAUACCCUGGUAGUCCGCACAGUAAACGAUGGAUGCCCGCUGUUGGUACCUGGUAUCAGCGGCUAAGCGAAAGCAUUAAGCAUCCCACCUGGGGAGUACGCCGGCAACGGUGAAACUCAAAGGAAUUGACGGGGGCCCGCACAAGCGGAGGAACAUGUGGUUUAAUUCGAUGAUACGCGAGGAACCUUACCCGGGCUUGAAUUGCAGACGAACGAUUCAGAGA
rnacentral:rRNA from 1 species